CAUUGCAUAACACAGUUAUCCAGUUGUAUACCAGACAUUUUGCCCAGAGGGAUAUUGUGAGAGACAGUAUAAAAAGCUUUGCUGAAGUCCAAAAAGAUUACACCUGCUGGCUUUCCUAGAUCAAGCAGGUAAGUUAACAUGCAGUGACAGGGAUACAGAAGUAAAUGUGAAGGAAGUGCAAGUCAUCUUAACUACAAUACUACAAAAGUAAAAAAAAAAAAAAAAACAAAAAACAAGCAUAACCAAGAAGCAAUUUUAAAGAAUACUUAUCCACAAUAUUUUUCCAUUGCUGUUGAAGAAGAAAGAAAGGAAAAUAAAGGAUAGUUACUGUGAAA